UAAGGAAUAUUGGUCAAUGGACGCAAGUCUGAACCAGCCAUGCCGCGUGGAGGAUGAAGGUCCUCUGGAUUGUAAACUUCUUUUAUCGGAGAAGAAACCCGACUUUUCUAAGGCGGUUGACGGUACCCGAUGAAUAAGCACCGGCUAACUCCGUGCCAGCAGCCGCGGUAAUACGGAGGGUGCAAGCGUUAUCCGGAUUCACUGGGUUUAAAGGGUGCGUAGGUGGGAUGGUAAGUCAGUGGCGAAAUCUCCAAGCUUAACUUGGAAACUGCCGUUGAUACUAUCAUUCUUGAAUAUUGUGGAGGUAAGCGGAAUAUGUCAUGUAGCGGUGAAAUGCUUAGAUAUGACAUAGAACACCGAUAGCGAAGGCAGCUUGCUACACAAUUAUUGACACUGAGGCACGAAAGCGUGGGGAUCAAAC
rnacentral:rRNA from 1 species